UACAGGGGGGGCAAGCGUUGUUCGGAAUUACUGGGCGUAAAGGGCCAGUAGGCGGCCAACUAAGUCACACGUGAAAUCCCCAGGCUUAACCUGGGAACUGCGUGUGAUACUGGAUGGCUUGAAUUCGGGAGAGGGAUGCAGAAUUCCAGGUGUAGCGGUGAAAUGCGUAGAUAUCUGGAGGAAUACCGGUGGCGAAGGCGGCAUCCUGGACCGACAUUGACGCUGAACGGCGAAAGCUAGGGGAGCGAACGGG
rnacentral:rRNA from 1 species